UACGUAGGGUGCGAGCGUUAAUCGGAAUUACUGGGCGUAAAGCGUGCGCAGGCGGUUUGGUAAGACAGAUGUGAAAUCCCCGGGCUUAACCUGGGAACUGCAUUUGUGACUGCCAGACUAGAGUGUAGCAGAGGGGGGUAGAAUUCCACGUGUAGCAGUGAAAUGCGUAGAGAUGUGGAGGAAUACCGAUGGCGAAGGCAGCCCCCCUGGGCUAACACUGACGCUCAUGCACGAAAGCGUGGGGGGAGCAAACAGGAUUAGAUACCCUGGUAGUCCACGCCCUAAACGAUGUCAACUAGGUGUUGGGGAAGGAGACUUCUUUAGUACCGCAGCUAACACGUGAAGUUGACCGCCUGGGGAGUACGGUCGCAAGAUUAAAAC
rnacentral:rRNA from 1 species